rnacentral:rRNA from 1 species
CCAGAAGUAGAUAGCUUAACCUUCGGGAGGGCGUUUACCACGGUAUGAUUCAUGACUGGGGUGAAGUCGUAACAAGGUAACCGUAGGGGAACCUGCGGUUGGAUCACCUCCUUACCUAAAA